rnacentral:lncRNA from 1 species
CAUCAUCAAAAUAAUUUAAAGCCGAGUAAUAUGAGACAAUUAAAAUAAUUCAUCCCAACCCAUAUAAAUAAUUGGAUUGCAUCCAAUUACUCAACAUGGCUUAUGAACUUUUCAAAAACUUGGCUUUUGCCAAAAAUCCAUUCUCGGGGAUACCCCGCGAAGGCAUCUUACCGAGACCGCCAAGGCUGUUUAUUGUCACACACACAAACACAUUUCACCUCUGACAACACAGCCGUUCCUUGGAGUUAGCUGAGUCCCAAUUUCACGUGGUGGCCAACGUGAAGUGUACUCAAAUCCUACCUCGAGAGUUAUCUUACGCGCCUCUCCAAUCGAGGUAAGCUCAAUAAUUGGGAACUGUGCCCCUCUAAUUAGGCUAACCCACAGAACCCCCGUCACUGCAGUGCCCACUUUAUAAUCCACCAACCAAUAAAAUCACAAUAGUAUGACAUGGCUCACUUAACACAUUCAAGGUAAAUCAAAGCAGUUCACAUAUUCUUAAAAUCAUAAAAAUAACCAAUCAUACCCACAUUUAUCAUAAGCCAUUUAAUGUAAAAUCAUAGAUAAACAACACAAUCAUAGUAUAGGUCUCCAAUUACUCUAUUUUUGAAAUCAUUAUUAAAUUUUCAAAAAUAUUAUAAAAUUAUUUUAUAAAAUCCCAUUUUACCAUAAAACACAAUAAUUUUCCAAUUAAACCAUUUUUUCAUAAAAUCACACAAUUAAAUAAAUCUACUCUAGAUAAUUAAGACGAUAGUAAGUUUACUCACUGUACUAGGAGUCGAUAUACUCCUAUUUUCAAUCCGCGGGUACAGUCCUUUACCCGUAUCUAAUGGCUCACCACCUAGCCAUAAUCCAUGGCACAUAUUUCAAUUAAAUUGUGUCUAACAGUCAUAAGCUAUUUCAGGCUCGAUAUAUAUGCAUGAUAUGAAAUGAAAAAUGCACAGGUAGCCAUCUAGACCCGGUAUUGACCUAAGUCGAUUUUUCAUCCAAUAAAUUGGCCAAUGCGUCCAAUUUCACUCCAACUUUCUCCAUUUCUUUUCCAAUCCCUCAAUUCACCAAGCACAACUAAUUAACACACAAUUAGGCAAAUUUAUCUUCACUUUUCUUCUUGGAACUUUCGGCCAUUGAAGGUUCAUGGGGAAAAUGGAUUCUUUUCUUGUUGUUUUGUUUCUAAACAUGUUUAACUAACUCUAAACACCAACAUAACUCAAAAUCAAACAAUUCCAACAUCUUUCUCUCUCCAUACCCAUUUUGACCAGCCAUAAUUUCAUCAUGAAAACAUGUAAUUUAACCAUGGAAAUUAAGGAAAAAUGCAUGGGUAAGGUAAAUCACUAGCAAAAUCAAAGAAAUUUUACCUUUGCUUGAUCAAAUCCUUGAAUUCCAACACUUUCUCUUUGAUUUUUCCCACCUAGGGUUUGUUCUUCCUUGGUUUCUCUUCUCUUCUGGUUUGGCUGAUCACUAUGGGAGAAAUGGGCUGAUUUUUUUGCCUUUUUAUAAAGAAAUAAUAAAAUAAUAAAAACAUGACACAUGGCAUUUCCUUAUUGGCUCAAAUUUUAAAUAUUUGACUUUUAAUUCUUUAAUUCUCCACCACACAUUUCUCAUGUUUAUCCAUUUCCAUGAUGAAUAAAAUCCCUUGGUCUUGACAAGUGUCGGGGGUGAAAAUUUACCGAUUUGCCCCCGGGGUGGCAAAAUUACCAUUUCACCCUUAUACUCCAAAUUAUACCGAAAUUAAAAUUUUUCACUUCUAAACUUCAAAUCAUACUCCAAUACUUAAAUCAUACUCCAAUAAGUCAAAUGGACCAAAAAAAAUCUUUUCUAAAAAUUUUCAUUUUGUCCCCAAGUGGCAAAUGACCAUUUUACCCCUAGAUAGUGAAAAUUCCAGUUUGACUCCAAAUUGAUCCUCGAACUCCGAAUUACCAUUUUGAGUCAUCCAUGAACUGUGAAACUCUUAAUUUCACCUUAAAAUUCCUAUUUGAACUAGUUCGAGGCUUAAUCGACUUAAUGAUACCAUUAGGGGCAAUAUCGUCUUUUAACGAUUUCUCGAACUUCCUAAAUAUACAAACAUUCUAUCGAGCAUGUGAAUGACAUUAUAAUUAUUUUACAAAGCAGGGUUUGACACCGACAGUGAGAGUAGUGACUGUUUAGGGAAAGAAGAAAGGGUGAAGAAAGGGGUUGAAGAACAAGCUCAGAGAAAAGGGGGAGGAAAACUGUAAUUAGAGAGAGAAAAUGGGAAGGUGAAGUGAACAGAGAAGAAAGAAAAAUAGUUUUUAUACUUAAGGUUAACACCUGAAAACGACACCAUUUUAAGAAGUAAAAAGGGAAGGAACAUCAGUCAAAUGACGUCGUUGAGGACAUUUGGGAAGUUAUAGCAUAAGCACUAAAAUGGUGCAAUUUGAGUAAAGCUCUGUGAGCCUUGGGAAGCAGAUCUGUUGAAGUGGGGUUGUGUCAUGACCCGAAACUCCCAUCGGCCCCGUGACAACCGUCGCGACGUCUCGAUAGGCACUCAUUACCCCGAAUACCGAUCGAAACCCCGCAAGGCUUAGCAUCAGCUUCCGCAUCUCCCCGGUGAGCGACAGUGAGCGACAGUUAUUAAAUCUCACAUUGCAAGAAAUCAUAAGUCGUUUCCAACUCAAAACAAUAAAAUAUUAUUUUUUAGCUCACAGGGGCAUUUUCAUCAUUUUUUUUUAAAAUUUCGAAAUCCGUAAAAAUGUAAUAUGUAAGUGGAAACGCAUAUUUCAUGAUUUAAAUUAAAUUUUGAAGUCUAAAACAUUCGUUUAAAGUAAAAUUAUAACUAUUUGAAUAUAAUAAAAAUAUUAAAUAAAAUAUUCUAUUUUCUUAAAACACAAUAUUUUCAAAGUCUUCCUAAAAUAACUUUUGUAGCGUAAGAGUAAAAUAAAUUUAUUCAUAUAGUAAUAAAGAUAAUUAAAGUAUGAAAUUUCGUUUACAGUGACACGUGGGCCCCCAAUUGAGCAAGAAGGUGUAGGGCUAUGAAUCCUUACUUUCUAGGAUGCACUCCGAGAUUAAUUCCCGUCUUAAUCAACUAUCAACAAACUGUCUUGAGCCUGAAAAAUGGAUAGGGAGAGGGGUGAGAUUAAAUAAUCCCAGUGAGUAAACAAUUACCAUCAAAAGCAUCUAAAGUCGAGUAAAUGGAGACAAUAUAAAAACGUUAUAUCUCAAUAAUGUUCAUAACACAAAAUUCGUUUCAAUCUAUACCAAACAAUUUCUUUUUAUCAAAAUUUUUCGGCUUAUGAAUUUCUUAAACUUGGCCCCUGCCAGAAUCAUUCUCGCGGGUACCUUUGUCAAGGUAUCCCACUGAGACUGUCAAGGCUGUUCAAUGACCCAUACCCAUAAACAUGUUUUCACAUUUGACACACAGCUGUUCCUUGGCGUUGGCUGAGUCUCACUCUCAUGUGAUGGCUCGAACGUGAGGUGCACUCAAAUCUUACCUCAGGAGAUACUUCAUCCAACAUCUCCCCUCGGAGGUAAUUAUAUAAUUGGGUUACCGUACCCCUCUCAUAGGCAGUCCACGAAAACCCCAACCACUGCAGUGACUGUUUAAUAUACCACCAGACCCAUAAAAAUUUCAGCAGCAUAAUAUGGCGAAUAAAAUGUAAUCCAGUCUACCGAGACCAAUCCAAAACUGUUCAUAUAUUUCAUGCCAACCCAAAAAAAUUUAGCCAUCAUGCUACCAUAGUGUCAUAAGCCACAAUUUCAAUAACAUAUAAAAUCAUAAAUUUCAACACAGUCUCCAUAUACUCAAAUUUCUCAAAACAAUAUUUGAUUUCAAAACCAGAAUAAAUCUCAUUUUUAUUAAAAAAUAUUUUAAUUAGAAAACAUAAUAUUUUAUAAUUUAAACUCACCAUUCAAUAAGAGCAUCAAACAAGUAUAAUUACUCUGGAUAUUUAAGAAGAUAAUUUGUCCACUCACAGUUCUAGGAGUCGAUGUACUCCUAAUCCCAGUCUUCAAGUACAAUCUCUGUACUUUUAUCAGUGUAAUUUGCUCACCACCUAUCCACAAUGUACAAUACAUAAUUCACCACAUCAAUGCUUGACCAUUAUAAAAUCAAUUCAGGCUCAGUCUAUAUGCAUGAUAUGAUAUACAACUUAUCCGACCAUCACUUAAAUGUGGUGCUGACCUAAUUCGGUCUAUUACCCGAUUAAAUCGAUAUACGUGCCUGUUUAAACUCCAAAUUAAUUUUUUUCAAUUUCUAUACCUCAAUUGCACCCAAAUUGACUUAAUGUCCCUCAGUGUGGUGCAAAUUAUCAGUUUCGAUAGCAAAUUACGAAAAUACCCCUAAUGGGUAAAAAUUCGUAUUUUUGCUCCGAAAAUUCCCAUUAUUUUUCUAGACUCAUAAUUCAUCAUUAAUCAUCAUAAUUCCUCAAAUAAACAUCAAGAUCAUCAGCCAAUAUUCCCCUAGAAAAUUUGGCCAAUAAUGGUAAUGAAGGAAAAUAAAUUCUUUUCUUGUUAUUUUGUUCCUAAAUAUGCUAAACUAACUAAAAACACUAACAUAACUUAAAAUCAAAUUAAUCUAACAACUUUCUCUCUCCUAACCCCUUUUGAUCAGCCAUCAAUUCAUCAUGAAAACAUGUAAUUUAGGCAUGAAAAAUUAGGAGAAAUGCUUAAGGAAGAUAGAUUUCAAGCUUAAGUUGAAAAAUCCUACCUUUUUCACUUGUUUUUCUUGAUUUUCCAUACUUUUUCUCUUGAAAUUCCUCACCUAGGGUUUGUUCUUCCUCUCUUUCUCUCUCUUCCUUGCUUGGCUGAAUAUUUGGAGAGUAAUGGGCUGAUUUAUGCUAUUUUUUUAGUUAAAUAAUAAAAUAUCCUAAGCUUGACACAUGGCAUUUUCUUAUUGGUUAAUUUUUAAAACUUUUAAAAUUUUAAACCUUUUAUCUCCACCACAUGAUUAGUCAAAGGUCAAAAAUGAGGAUAAAGGAAGACCUUGUGCUGGACAAAUGUCUUGGUGGUGGAAAAUUACAAUUUUACCCCUAGAGUGACAAAAUUAUCAUUUUACCCAUAUACUCCAAAUCAUAUCGAAAUUAAAAUUUUUCACUUCUAAACCUCAAAUCAUACUCCAAUAAGUCAAAUGGGACCUAAAAAAUCUUUUUUAAAAUUUUUCAUUUUGGCCCCAAGUGGCAAAUGACCAUUUUGCCUUUGGAUAGUGAAAAUUUCGGUUUGACUCCAAAUUGAUCAUCGAACUCCAAAUCACUAUUUUAAGUCAUCUCUGGACCAUGAAAUUCUUAAUUUCACCUUAAAAUUUCUAUAUGAACUAGUUCAAGGCUUAAUCGACUUAAUGAUACCAUUAGAGGCAGUAUCGUCUUUCAACGAUUUUCUCAAACUUCCUAAAUAUGUAACCAUUCUAUUGAGUAUAUAAAUGACGUCGUAAUUAUUUUAUAAAACAGGGUUUGACAGGUUGGUUGUCUUGGGCUGUCUCUUGCCCAAGGAAGGUAAACCUUUUUCUUUUUGUGGGUUUGGUAUGAUUUUGUUGUAUUGUGCUUGGCCCAAAUAUUUGGUUGGAAAAUAAAUUAGUUUUAGUAUGUGAUUAAUUAAAAUAAAAAAUAAAAAAUAUGCAGUAAAAUUAUCAAAUGUUAAGGUAAAAAUAUAAAGAGAAAAAAGUAAAAAAUUAUAAAUAGAGAGAUAGAUAAAUAUUUAAUAAUAAAGUGAUAGAUUUAGUUAUAUAGAAUAUAAGUGUAUAUAUAUAUAGGAAAAGAUGAAUGCCUAACCAAAAAAUAGUAAUAAAUAAUAGUAGAUCUAGGUUNUAUAUAUAUAUAUAUAUAUAUAUAUAUAUAUAUAUAUAUAUAUUUGAAAAGAUGAAUGCCUAAUGAAAAAAAUAGUAAUAAAUAAUAGUAGAUCUAGGUAAAAAAUACAAAUAUAUGUGAUAGAUAAAUAAAUAUUUAGCAGUAAAAAUAUAAAACUAAGUAAAUAAAAUAAUAUUUAGUUAUAAAAAAUUAAUCUAGCUGAAGGAAAGAAAAUAUAUGAAAAUGUAAAAGUAUAUGUAUAUUUUGUCAUAAGCAAAAUAGACUAAAUAAUGAGUGAAAAUAAUAUUAAUAUAGAUAAUUAUAUGAAAGUGACUUAAAUAAAAAAGGUAGAUAAAAUGUAAAAAGAUAAGUUAGGCAUGUAAAUAGAAAUGAGAUAUUUAACUAUAUAAAUUUAUAUUCAUAUAGGUAUAUAUAAAAAAAAUAAAAGAAUGGGACCUAGUAUGAAAUUAUUAAAUAUAAAAAUAUAACGAUUGUUUUAGGAUCAAUACCAAUGAUAGGAUGUCCAUUCAGAACGUGAGAAGUCAUAAUUCCCAAUGAAUUAUUAGGGACUUUGAUUAAGAUCCCACUAGUACCAUGUGAAGGUUUUAAUUUUGAGUCAUGAUGUUUCCAAUUCUAAAUAAAUAAAAAUUGUAUUAACCUAAUUACUAACCAAACAAAACAUAAAAACAAAGGAAACAAAAUAAUAAUAAUAAUAAUAAUAUACAAGAGGGAAUAGAUAAAAUAUGUAAUUUUAAAAUAUAAGAUUAUAUAAAAUAAGGAUUUUCAAGAUAAUAAAUAAAUAAAUAAUGAUAAUAAAAUUUUUAAAGAGAGUAAGAUGAUAACAAUAAUGAAUAUAGAGAAUAAUCAAUAGCGGACAUAAGAGUUGGUAUAGUACGUCUUGCAUUAUAAUCGCAUUUAAAUGUCAUGGCUUGUAGACAUUACGUGUGCGAGUCCAAAUCUCGAUGAUGGGACUUUUCAAGGGAGCUUGCAAAGGCGAGUUCUUUCAAAAAAUUUCCUAGGUGAAAGGAUACUUUCGAGUCUCACCAGUACGAUAGGAAGGCUCGGAGAAUAUCCUUAAUAAAAAGCUUCUGCUCGUAUUAAGGUCUGCAUUCAUAAAAAUAUUAUUUUUUACUUGCAAACGACUACCCCGAUGAUGGGAUUUACUCGAUAAACUUGCGAAAGUGAGUUUCUCGAGUAUUUUCUAGGUGAGAAAUUACUCUCGGAUCUUACCAGUAUGAUGGGUGAAUUCGAAUUCGCUUAGGACAUCAAUCGAGGACAAUUUUUAACGUCAAAAGAUCAGAUUGUUUACUCUAAAUGGUCUAAGUGUUCAUUACUUGAAAGAUCUAAGGAUUGCUUUGUAAAUUCUUGUAACACCCGACCCUAAAUUAUCUAUGACAUAUCAUUCACAUGCUUUGGAUAGCAUGUUUGUAUAUUGAAUUGCCCGGAAAACAAGUUAAAUGACUGUAUUGCCCCUAAUGGUACGGUUCAGUCAAAUAAGUCUUGAACUAGUUUAAACAGAGAAUCGAGGAUGAAUUUGAAAAAACUAAAACCUAUGGGUUGAUUUAAAAUGAGGAUUCAGAGUUUGAGGUCCGAUAUGGAGUUAAUCCGGACUUUAAGUAUUUUAAGGGUAAAAUGGUAAAUUACCACCUGAGGACGAAUAUGGAAAAUUUUAAUCCCGUUUGAUUAAGAUUGAUUAUAUUAAACAUAUUGGAGUUUAAUUUGAGGGUUUGACAGUGAAAAAAUUUAAUUUCGGUGAUUUCUAGAGUAUAGGGGCAAAAUCAUAAAUUUUUCACCCGCGGACAAAAUUUGAGAUUUUGAGAGAAUUUAGAUCAAAAUUGACAAAUUGGAGAGUGGUACGAGUAUAAGGGAUGAAAAAUAUGUCUAUGGGCAAUUUUUCAGUUUUUGGGGUAAAAAUGUAAUUUUGACUUUUACAGGGGCAAAAGUGUAAAUUUCAAAAAUUACUCCACCAAGACUUUGGAUAAGUCUUAGAAUUUUAUCUAAGCUAUGGAUAUGUUAGACAAGUGUAUGGUGAAAAUUUGGAAAUAAAUGGAUGGCUAGAAUUUAAGGAAUUAAUAAAAAAAAUGAAUAGAAUAAUAUUAUAUUAUUUUAGCCUUUAAAAAUGUCAAAAUUCCAGAAUUCUCAUCUUCUUCAGCCGUCCAAACCAGGAGAGAAAAAGGGGGAAAAGAAAUAAGAACCCUAGCUGAAAAAUUUGGGAAAAAUAAAGAGAAAUCAAGAAAUCAAGCAUUAAAAAGGUAAAUUUCAUUGAUUUUCCUUGUGAUUUUCACUACCCAUGCAUUUGUUUCUCAUUUUCAUGCAAAAUUAGAAAGUGGGUAUAGACACCCAUGCUGGCCAAACCUCCACGGAUGAGUUUUGAACUUGAAUUUUGGUUGAUUUUAAUUAAAUUAAGUGAUUUUAGUUAGGUUAUAUUGAACUAUAGCAAAAAUAAGCUAGAAAAAUAAUUUUCUCCCAUUGAAACCCAUUAUACCGAAUUUUCUAGGGGAAUAUUCGCUGCUGAUCUUGAUGUUUAUUUGAGGAAUUAUGAUGAAUAAUGAUGAAUUAUGAGCCUAGAAAAAUAAUGGGAAUUUUCGGAGCAAAAAAAUGAAUUUUUACCCACUAGGGUUAUUUUCGUUAUUUGCUAUCGAGACUGAUAAUUUGCACCACACUGAGGAACAUUAAGUCAAUUUGGGUGCAAUUGAGGUAUAGAAACUGAAAAAAAAUUAAUUUGGAGUUUAAACGGAUGUGUAUAUCGAUUUAUCCCGAAAUAGGCUAACAUCUCGUUUAGGCAAAAUUUAGACAUUUUGCACUUCAUAUCAUGCAUUAGUAGUAUAAAUUAGCUUAUUUUGGUUUAGUACCAAAGCAGUAAACCUCUUAAUUGUGCAAUUUGUCAAGGUGGCGAAUCCUUUGGUAAGGGUAAAGAAAUUGCACCCGAGGAAUAAUAGUUGGAGUACUCAAAUUUAGUUUUCAGAAACUGUGAGUAAACUUAUUAUCGUCUUAAUUAUCUAGAGUAGUUUUAUACAAUUGUGUGAUUUUAUGAAAAAUGGGUUUAUAUGGUAAAUUGCUAUGUUUUAAGAGAAAUUGUGAUUUUAUAAAAUGAUUUUAUAAAUUUUCUAGAAAAUCGAAUACUGGUUUUGACAAUAGAGUAAUUUGAGACUGCCUGCUUGUGUUGUAAAUUUAUGGUUUUAAAUUGAAUGGCUUAUGACAAUAAAUGAGCAUGAAUGGCUAAACUGAUUUUAGUGUUAGAAUUAUUUGUACUGUGUAUUUAGCCUUGAGAGGCUAGGUUGCGAUAAAUUGCCAUGUCAUGCAGAAAAAGAUUUUAUAAAUCAAGUGGUAGAUAAAAGAUUAGCUACUGCAGUGGUGGGGGGUUCCGUGGGCCAGCCUAUUAGAGGGACACGAUCAACUCCUUUAUAUUCUCACCUCGGUCGUAAAGGCGCGUAGGGUAUCUCCUGAGGUGAGCUUUUUGAGUGCACUUCACGUGGACCACCGCGUGAGAGUGAGACUUAGCCAGCGCUAAGGAACGGCUAUGUUUCAAAAUAAAAAUAUGAUUUAUGCGAAAUAUAAAUUUUUAACAACCUUGGCGGACUUCGUUGGAUACCCCUGGUCCAAGUGUCCCCGAGUACAAGAUUUGGCAUGAGCCAAGUUUUGAGUAAUUCACGAGCCAUAUUGAUUAUUUGGUUGAAAUGAAUAUUCGUUAUGUGAAAAAUUUAUUGAAGUUAAUUAUUUUUAAUUGUCUCCAUUUACUCGCCUUUAGAUAGUUUAGAUGGUGUCUGUUUACUCAUUGGGAUUUUAUAAUCUCACUACCCUCAAUUCCCCACAUUUUAGGUUCGGGAUAGCCAGUAGAUAGCUGAUUGCAUCAAGGACUUCAGUUAGCCUUGCAUUGUCAAAAUUAUAGAUUCACAGACUCGCAUCUUAUUGGUUAGUUGGGGGCCCACGUGUCAUUGUAAAAGUAAUUUUAUACUUUAGUUAUCUGAUUUAAAAUAUGUAUGAACAUAUUUAGCUUUUACACCAUGUUUUUGGCGAGUUUCGGUAUUAUCGAAGAAAAAUGACGAAAAUGCCCUUAUGAGCCAGAAAAUAAUAUUUUAUUAUUUUGAUUUGGAAACGACUUAUGAUUUCUUGAAAUGCAAGAUUUAAUAACUGUCGCUCACCGGGGAGAUGCAGAAACUGAUGCUAAGCCUUGCGGGGUUCCGAUCGGCAUUCGAGGUAAUGAGUGCUUAUCGGGAUGUCGCUGCGGUUGUCACGGCCCGAUGGGAGUUUCGGGUCGUGACAAUUCUCCUUCUUUUCUUUAUUUCAACCCCUACUUUUCACCAUUAUAUAAUUCCACAUGAUGAUUGUCAUAGAAAUGAAUGAUGAUUGGUAAAGAGAUGAACUAAUUAAGUAAGAAACUAUAUUUGUUGUUCAAUAAAAGACUUAAUGAUGAGGAAAAAAGAAAAAAGAGCCUCAACAUGAAAAAGGUCCAAUGUCAAAAGAAAUGAUGCCUAAGGAAAAUUAGGAAUUUCAGCCAAUGGGAAAGGCGUAGACAAAGAUGAGUGAAAGUUGUAGUGAAAAGGUUGGAUGAAGUAAGAAAAGGGUCAAGAAACCUUAAUGAAUCAUAAACAUGAAAACAUUCCAUCAAUUCAAUCGUGUACACAUGCCUAACCAUGCAUAUGAUCAUUUUCAAACAAGAAUCAAAAUUAAUACAUGUUCCAAGGUUCAAAAGUGGAAAUUUAUCGAACCUAAAGUGUUCAGGUUGUAAAACUUUGAUUAAGAUGGAAGUAUUUGAGUAUUUCAUUUUCAUAAAACAACUAAUGCAGAAAGGAUUUAAGCCUAAUUAAGUUGGCACGAGAGAUUCCAAGCCAAAUUUAGUUGACACUAGUAUGAGUUUAAAAAUGAUGUCAAUCCAAUUAAGUUGACAUUAGAUAAUUUAAAAUCGAACUUGUUUUGAAAUAGGUCGAGCCUAGGUCAAGUCUAAGAAUUUUAAUUUUUAAAUCGAAUCUGUUUUGACAUAGGUCGAGCCUAGGUCAAGUCUAGGAAUUUCAAUUUUUUAAUCAAACUUGUUUUGCUAUAGGUCGAGCCUAGAUUGAGUGUAGAAAUUUCAAUUUUUUAAAUCAAACCUAUUUUGAUAUAGGUCCAGCCUAGGUCAAGUUUAGAAAUUCAGUUUUUAAAAUCAAACCUAUUUUGAUAUAGGUUGAGCCUAAGUCGAGUUUAGGAAUUUCAAUUUUUAAAUCGAACCUAUUUUGAUAUAAGUUGAGCUUAAGUCAAAUCUAGGAAUUUUGAUUUUCAAUUUGAACUUAUUUUGAUAUAGGUCGAGCCUAAGUCAAGUCUAGGAAUUUGAAUUUUUAAAUCGAACCUAUUUCGAUAUAGGGCGAACCUAGAUCAAAUCCCAAAAUUUCAAUUUUUAAGUCAAACAUAUUUUAAGAUAGGUCAACCCUAGAUUAAGUUUAAGAACUUCAAUUGUUUAAAUCGAACUUGCUUUAAGAUAGGUCAAAUAUGGUGCUUACGUCUUUGCACUAUUCUUGAUUCUCAAGAAUGUGUAAAGAGAGGCAACUGUAGCACCUAUACCCAUAGAUCUCAAAUAAAAAAAAUAAUAAAUAAUAAAUAAAUUGCUCUUAAAAAAAUUGAAAUUGAUGGUUUUAGUAUUCUUAGCCUCUUUCUCCCAUAGUCAACUGAUCAGAUGUUCAAGCCGAUGGCUACCCUAUUGCUUUUCUAAGCACCGUCACUUUGAUACUUAGGAAACAGCUUGCACAAGGCAUUUAAUGCCCUUUGGGUAGCUAGAUUUGGGUCACCUCUAGCUGCCAUCCCUAGGUUUUCUUUUACAUGGAGCCCUUCAUUUGUAAAAUCAUGCUAAAAAAAGCAUGAUUUCAUUUCUAGAUUGUCCAAAAACUUGGAAAAUCGAGUUCUAUAAGAACCCUUGAAAUUCAUAAGGAAGAGGGGGCAAUUUCACAAAACUUAGCAGCCAAUUUCAUCACAGAAGCCUUAGGCAACCAAUUUCAAAAAAAGAGAGAAAACCCUAGAGCAAAAGAAAAACUCAAAAAAAUCCUAACUUUCUAUCCUAUCAAACAACCAAAUACCAUAAUCAAAAGAUUUAAGAAAAGCUGAAAUAAAAAUAACAAAUAGCAAUAAAAAAAAAGGCCUUGAAAAUUCGAAAACUAGAAAAGACUAAGGGGGUUUGUUUUUCUUUCUUUUCUUUUGGGAUCUUCACGAGAUUUGGGGAAUUUAGGGUUGGUGGUUUUUGAUCGGCUUGGUUGGGGAGUGAUUGUGAAGGGAAAAUAGAGAAAGUUGAUGAAAUCGAGAGAGAAAAAGGGCAAUUGACGAGGUAGGCCGGCAGUGAGAGUAGUGAUAAUAUAGGGAAAUAAGAAAGGGUGAAGAAAGGGGUUGAAAAACCAGCUUCAGAGAAGGGGAAGGAAUACUGUCAUUAGAGAGAGAAAAUGGGAAGGUGAAGUGAAGAGAGAAGAAAGAAAAAUAGUUUUUAUACUUAAGGUUAGCACUUAAAAACGACAUUAUUUUGGGAAGUAAAAAGGGAAGGAGCAUCAGUCAAAUGAUGUCGUUUCGAGCGUUUGGGAAGUUGUAGCAUAAGCACUAAAACGGUGCGAUUUGAGUAAGGCUUUGUGAGCCUUUGGAAACAGAUUUGUUGAAGUGGGUUUGGUUGUCUUGGGCCGCCGUUUGCCCAAGGAAGGUAAACCCUUUUCCUUUGUGGGUUUGGUAUGAUUUUGUUGUAUUGUGCUAGGCCCAAAUAUUUGGUUAGAAAAUAAAUUAGUUUUAGUAUGUGAUUAAUUAAAAUAAAAAAUAAAAAAUAUAUAGAAAAAUUAUCAAUUGCUAAGGUAAAAAUAUAAAGUGGAAAAAGCAAUAAAUUAUAAAUAGAGAGAUAGAUAAAUAUUUAAUAAUAAAGUGAUAGAUUUAGUUAUAUAGAAUAUAAGUGUGUGUGUGUGUGUGUGUUAUACCUAUCAAAAUGGGCUUGGCCCAUUGGGCCAACCCAUUUUUCAUUUAAUAUGGGGUGGGCUGGGCCAUGAAAAUUUAGGCCCAUAUUUAAACCGGGCCUAGAUGGGCCAGCCCACCAAAUCAAUAGGCUAGGGUGGGUUGGGGCGGCCAGCCCUAUGGGCCAAAAAAAUUAAUAAUUUUAAUUAAUUUAAUAACUUUAUAUAUUUAAUUAUAUAAAAGUAAUAAUUUAAUUGCCAAUAAUAUUACUUAUUUUAUAUAUUUUAAUGUGUUUUGUCACGACCCGAAACUCCCAUCGAGCCCGUGACAACCACCGCGACGUCUCGAUAGGCACUCAUUACCCCGAAUGCCGAUCGAAACCCUGUAAGGCUUAGCAUCAGCUUCUGCAUCUCUCCAGUGAGCGACAGUUAUUAAAUAUCACAUUUCAAAAAAAUCAUAAGUCAUUUCCUAUUCAAAACAAUAAAAUAUUAUUUUUUGGCUCACAAGGGCAUUUUAGUCAUUUUUCUUCGAAAAUACCGAAAUUCACCAAAAACAUGGUGUAAAAGCUAAAUAUAUUCAUACAUACUUUAAAUCAAAUAACUGAAGAAUAAAAUUACUUUUACAGUGACACGUGGGCCCCCAACUGACUAAUAAAAUGUAGGGUUACGAACCCUUACUUUCUAAGAUGCAACUCCGAGAUUAAUUCUCGUCUUAAUCAACUAUCAACAAAUUGUCCUGAGCCUGAAAAAUGGAUAGGAAGAGGGGUGAGAUUAUGAUUACAUAAUCCCAGUGAGUAGACAGACAUCAUCAAAAUAAUCUAAAGCCGAGUAAUAGGAGACAAUUAAAAUAAUUCAUCCCAACCCAUAUAAAUAAUUGGAUUUCAUUCAAUUACUCAACAUGGCUUAUGCACUUUUCAAAAACUUGGCCCUUGCCAAAAAUCCAUUCUCGGGGAUACCCCGCGAAGGCAUCUUACCGAGACCGCCAAGGUUGUUUAUUGUCACACACACAAACACAUUUCACCUUUGACAACACAGCCGUUCCUCGGCGUUGGCUGAGUCUCAGUUUCACGUGGUGGCCAGCGUGAAGUGUACUCAAAUCCUACCUCGGGAGUUAUCCUACGUGCCUCUCCAAUCGAGGUAAGCUCAAUAAUUGGGAACCGUGCCCCUCUAAUUAGGCUGGCCCACGGAACCCCCGUCACUGCAGUGCCCAAUUUAUAAUCCACAAACCAAUAAAAUCACAAUAGUAUGACAUGGCUCACUUAACACAUUCAAGGCAAAUCAAAGCAGUUCACAUAUUCUCGAAAUCACAAAAAUAACCAGUCAUACCCACAUUUAUCAUAAGCCAUUUAAUGAAAAUCAUGGAUAAACAACACAAUCAUAGUAUAGGUAUCCAAUUACUCUAUUUUUGAAAUCAUUAUUAAAUUUUCAAAAAUUUUAUAAAAUUAUUUUAUAAAAUCUCAUUUUUCCAUAAAACACAAUAAUUUUCCAAUUAAACCAUUUUNNN